rnacentral:piRNA from 1 species
UCAGAUAACUCUCUCUAGUGUGUGU